ensembl:snRNA U4 U4 spliceosomal RNA
AGCUUUGCACAGUGGCAGUAUUGUAGCCAAUGAGGUUUAUCCGAGGUGCAAUUAUUGCUAAUUUAAAUCUUUUCCCAAAAGAUACC